rnacentral:rRNA from 1 species
UACAGAGGUCCCGAGCGUUGUUCGGAUUCAUUGGGCGUAAGGGGUGCGUAGGUGGCGCUGUAAGUCGGGUGUGAAAUUUCGGAGCUUAACUCCGAAACUGCAUUCGAUACUGCGGUGCUCGAGGACUGGAGAGGAGACUGGAAUUCAUGGUGUAGCAGUGAAAUGCGUAGAUAUCGAGAGGAACACCUGCGGCGAAGGCGGGUUGCUGGGCUGACACUGACGCUGAGGCGCGAAAGCUAGGGGAGCGAACGGG